AUACAAACCAAUCCAGACACACAGGGACUAACAAGGAUAUGAACACCAGCAGAUGAAGAUCAUCAGUACCAUCUUGGAGGCUGGCUACCACAACAGUUAAAGAACUCCCUUUAGCAUUUCUCGUAGGACAGGUCUGGUGUUAAUGAAAUCCCUCAGCUUUUGUUUGUCUGGAAAAGUGUGUCUCCUUCAUGUUUAAAGGAUAUUUUAGCUGGAUAUACUACUCUAAGCAACCCAGUGAUUCCAUGGAAAGCAGAAAGAAGGACAUAAAGAAACGGAUACUUGGUGACAUCUUUGACUCACUGGAUCAAACCUUGCCUGAAGCUCACAUUUCUGAAAUUUCCAGAUACAAGAACAAAUACUUCCUCUUUAUUGUUUUACUAGAUUUGAGACAAGCUUUAAGUUUCUCAGACUCUUCCUCUUCCUAACAGAUUUAUCAGAAGCUGAAAGCUCUGAUCUUGUUGGGAUGCGGAUCGUGUCAGGAGAAGGCUUACUUUGCACGCUUUUCUUAGUCUGGUUGCCUAACUCAAGAACCUCGGCAUGGCUCUGUUACUUCUCUACUCAGACAAGCAUCCCUGCAGACACUCACUAGGCUAACUCUGUCUUUAUUUUUAGAAUUAGACCUUUACGAGAAGCACAGUUUUGUCUUCAGUUUCCUCUCCCCCCACCCGGAAUGGCCUGAGCCGAAGCCAGCUCCCUCCGAGAAGUCAUUACCGCCUGACUUGCGUUUGAUAUUUAGACACCUUGGUCACAACAUCUUGCAUUCUCUCGGGAUGCUGAUUUCUAACUGCUCUUUGGCCUUUCCUGCAUUGGUCCUCCUCAGGCAGGGGAUCCCUGCUCUUCUAUAUUAAUGCUGGCUCCCCGUCCCCUGUCCACCAUGAGUCAAAGCAAUGUGAGUCCCUCACCAGAUGCAACUGCCCAGUCUUGGACUUUCCAGUGACCAGAAUCAUGAGCCAAAUAAACCUCUUUUCUUUAUGAAUUA
rnacentral:lncRNA from 1 species